GGUAUAUCAUAAAUGAGUUUAUGUAAACAAGCAUCUGUUGAUGGCGUAGGAGCUCAGGUUCUUGGCUGAUACAGAAAGGGUUCCUUUUAGAGCAACAAAUUUCAGUGCUGAUGUGCAAAGUGAAACACUCAGCUUCCUGUUACACUUGCACAACCUGUUGAGAUCCGAGGAAGUUGUACUGGUGUAACAAAGGAUGGUCAGCAGUUUCACUGGGAAACUUUGGACAAACCUACCUAGCCAGUAACUUUCAGUAAGUACAGCACUGCCAUGUCACGUCUGCUUCAAGUUCUUAUUUCAGUAGUGGAUGAAACAUCAAGAUUGCAAGACAGGUAUGUGCCUGCUACAGGUAUUUGUGAAUUCUUAUAAAGGCUUGUCUUGAUUCAGUGGUAGAGAACUGCAUUUAACUUACUGCCUCCAAUUAACUUGUGCAAAUUGCUCGGUAAUCCAAAGUCAUUAAAAUGUUCAAAAUAAUUACUUUGAAUUUUUAUUUUGGGC